rnacentral:rRNA from 1 species
UACCAGCACCCCGAGUGGUCGGGACGUUUAUUGGGCCUAAAGCAUCCGUAGCCGGUUCUACAAGUCUUCCGUUAAAUCCACCUGCUUAACAGAUGGGCUGCGGAAGAUACUAUGGAGCUAGGAGGCGGGAGAGGCAAGCGGUACUCGAUGGGUAGGGGUAGAAUCCGUUGAUCCAUUGAAGACCACCAGUGGCGAAGGCGGCUUGCCAGAACGCGCUCGACGGUGAGGGAUGAAAGCUGGGGGAGCAAACCGG